rnacentral:rRNA from 1 species
ACGGAAGGCAGCAGUAGGGAAUCUUCGGCAAUGGGGGCAACCCUGAUCGAGCAACGCCGCGUGAGUGAAGAAGGUUUUCGGAUCGUAAAGCUCUGUUGUAAGAGAAGAACGUGUGUGAGAGUGGAAAGUUCACACAGUGACGGUAACUUACCAGAAAGGGACGGCUAACUGCGCGCCAGCAGCCGCGGUAAUACGUAGGUCCCGAGCGUUGUCCGGAUUUAUUGGGCGUAAGGCGAGCGCAGGCGGUUUAAUAAGUCUGAAGUUAAAGGCAGUGGCUUAACCAUUGUUCGCUUUGGAAACUGUUAGACUUGAGUGCAGAAGGGGAGAGUGGAAUUCCAUGUGUAGCGGUGAAAUGCGUAGAUAUAUGGAGGAACACCGGUGGCGAAAGCGGCUCUCUGGUCUGUAACUGACGCUGAGGCUCGAAAGCGUGGGGAGCAAACAGGAUUAGAUACCCUGGUA